GACGAACGCUGGCGGCGUGCUUAACACAUGCAAGUCGAACGGUAAGGCUCCAGCUUGCUGGGGUACACGAGUGGCGAACGGGUGAGUAACACGUGGGUGACCUGCCCUGCACUUCGGGAUAACCCUGGGAAACUGGGUCUAAUACCGGAUAGGACCAUGGUGUGGAUGCUGUGGUGGACAGUUUUUUCGGUGUGGGAUGGGCCCGCGGCCUAUCAGCUUGUUGGUGGGGUAAUGGCCUACCAAGGCGGCGACGGGUAGCCGGCCUGAGAGGGUGGACGGCCACAUUGGGACUGAGACACGGCCCAGACUCCUACGGGAGGCAGCAGUGGGGAAUAUUGCACAAUGGGCGGAAGCCUGAUGCAGCGACGCCGCGUGGGGGAUGACGGCCUUCGGGUUGUAAACUCCUUUCACCAUCGACGAAGGGUUUCUGACGGUAGAUGGAGAAGAAGCACCGGCUAACUACGUGCCAGCAGCCGCCGUAACAC
rnacentral:rRNA from 1 species